AGAAACACACAGCUUGAAAAAAGACACAGAUAAGCCAGAUUCGGCCUGUGUAACCAGUAGUACUGUAGUAGCACCUAUGGUCGCUGCUGGUAAGUGGUAGGGAGUGUUUCAGAUCAUAGACAACAAAACACAACACACCGAAAAAGUGAAUUUAAACUAAACGGUUAAACCUUGUUCUUUUUAAAAUAUUUCCCUCCAUUCGGAGACAUGGAUAUCAUUACCAAUUUAGUUUCGAAGCUACUCACAUUGUUUCUCACGGUCUUGUUUGUGGGUUCUGAGCUCAUACACUGCAAUGCUACCUACGAUAGAAAGUCUCUUCUCAUCAAUGGUUAGAGGAGAAUCCUCAUCUCGGGCUCCAUUCACUAUCCCAGAAGCACCCCUAAGGUUUGUGUUUCAUUUUCUUCACUCUUUAUGUGUUUCAAUCUUAAAAUGUGUUUCAAGCUUUGUGUUGUUUUGUUUGCUUCAAAUGUGGGAGGAUCUAAUUCGGAAGGCCAAACACGGAGGACUUGAUGUCAUAGACACUUAUGUCUUCUGGGAUGUCCAUGAACCUUCUCCUGGCAAUUACAAUUUUGAAGGAAGGUAUGAUCUAGCACGGUUCAUUAAGACGGUGCAGAAGGUGGGGCUUUAUGCUAAUCUUCGGAUUGGACCUUAUGUAUGCGCUUAGUGGAACUUUGGAGGAAUUCCUGUAUGGUUGAAGUAUGUUCCUGGCAUAAGUUUCAGAACGGAUAAUGAGCCUUUCAAGGCGGCAAUGCAAGGUUUCACGCAGAAAAUUGUCCAGAUGAUGAAGAGUGAGAAGUUGUUUCAGUCUCAGGGUGGUCCAAUCAUUCUCUCUCUGAUUGAGAAUGAGUACGGACCAGAGAGUAGGGGAGCUGGUGGCCGUGCAUACGUAAACUGGGCUGCAAGAAUGGCUGUUGGAUUGGGUACAGGAGUGCCCUGGGUGAUGUGCAAGGAAAAUGAUGCCCCAGAUCCUGUGAUAAAUUCAUGUAAUGGUUUUUACUGUGAUGAUUUCUCUCCAAAUAAACCAUACAAGCCUAGCAUAUGGACUGAGACUUGGAGUGGCUGGUUUACAGAAUUUGGCGGCCCAAUUCACCAGCGACCAGUUGAGGAUCUAUCAUUUGCAGUUGCUCGUUUCAUACAAAAGGGUGGCUCAUAUGUGAAUUAUUACAUGUACCAUGGAGGAACUAACUUUGGACGAUCAGCUGGAGGCCCGUUCAUAACUACAAGCUAUGACUAUGAUGCUCCAAUUGAUGAAUAUGGUUUGAUCAGGCAACCAAAAUAUAGUCAUUUGAAGGAGCUUCAUAAAGCUAUCAAGCGAUAUGAACAUGCUUUGGUGUCUUCGGAUCCCACAGUUUCGUCAUUAGGAACACUACUGCAGGCUCAUGUAUUCUCUACAGGGACUGGAACAUGUGCAGCAUUUCUAGCAAACUAUAAUGCACAGUCAGCUGCUACCGUGACAUUCGAUAGCAAGCACUAUGAUUUACCUCCUUGGUCCAUAAGCAUCCUUCCUGAUUGCAAAACUGAUGUAUUUAAUACUGCAAAAGUGAGAGUUCAAUCUUCACUGGUGAAAAUGCUUCCGGUCAAAAAAAAGUUCUCAUGGGAGAGCUACAAUGAAGAUCUAUCUUCUCUGGCCGAAAAUUCAAGGAUUACAGCUCCUGGACUCUUAGAACAGCUGGACGUUACUAGAGAUACCAGUGACUAUCUAUGGUACAUAACCAGCAUUGGCAUAAGUUCAUCAGAAUCCUUUUUUCGAGGCGGACAAAAACCAAGCAUUAAUGUGAAGUCCGCAGGACAUGCUGUUCGUGUGUUUGUUAAUGGCCAAUUUUCAGGGUCGGCUUUUGGGACUAGGGAGCAGAGAAAUUGCACGUUUAAUGGACCUGUUGACCUCCGCGCUGGAACAAAUAAAAUUGCUCUUCUCAGCGUGGCUGUUGGAUUACAGAAUGUUGGUCGGCAUUAUGAAACUUGGGAGGCAGGAAUCACUGGUCCAGUUUUGAUCCAUGGUCUUGACCAAGGACAGAAAGAUUUGACGUGGAACAAGUGGUCAUAUAAGGUUGGCCUAAGAGGAGAGGCUAUGAAUCUGGUAUCUCCCAAUGGGGUCUCGUCUGUUGAUUGGGUCCAAGAGUCACUAGCUACUCAAAGCCGGUCACAAUUGAAAUGGAACAAGGCUUGUUUUAAUGCACCCGAGGGAAACGAACCACUGGCUUUGGACAUGGCAAGCAUGGGUAAGGGUCAAGUAUGGAUCAACGGGCGGAGCAUAGGGAGAUAUUGGCUGGCUUAUGCAAAGGGUGACUGUAAUUCUUGCACUUAUUCUGGGACCUUCAGGCCUGUAAAGUGCCAACUUGGUUGUGGACAACCCACUCAACGAUGGUAUCACGUUCCAAGGUCGUGGCUGAAGCCAACAAAGAACUUGAUAGUAGUGUUUGAAGAAUUAGGUGGAAAUCCUUGGAAAAUAUCUUUGGUAAAGAGAGUGGCACAUACUCCGGCAGUUCAUGGGUAGUGACCCAAUUCAGAGAACCAAAGAACCUGAAUAAGAAUCUGUCUACUGUGAAUUUUGUGGCUUUCUUUGGAACGAAGGUAGCUUCGAAACAAUAACUUGGCAAUACGAAGAAGUGUUGUUAGUUCUAUGGUUCCUAGCACCCCCUUUUCUUAUAGAAAUGGACCACCGUGAUUGGUACAAAAGAUGUACCUAGAUGAUUUGUAAUAUAUUUUUCGACACGUCAACCAAAUCUACUAGGAGAUUACUUGUGAAUGAAGUGAUUGUAAGGCCCUCAAUUCAUAGGAUCAUGGAUUGGAUCCCCUACCUGUGCAAUAUAAAAAAUACAAAAAAUCUUUGUCCCAUUAUUUUCAUGUAAUAUAUAAUAAUCAUCGUACUGC